rnacentral:lncRNA from 1 species
UGGUACCGGGUGUUUCAGACCUUCAGAUAGGUUGCUUUCAAAAGAGCUUUCAGGCACUUAUUGAGAAUUAAUGUUUAAACAGACGUAAUAGCCUAGAUGAACUCCCAAGAGAUCUAUUAAAUCUUGUGGGCUGAAUAAAUAUCUCGUGCAGGACUGUGCAACAGUAGCCCAGAGCAUCCUGCCUGUGGGCAUCCACCUCCCAGGUGAGGGCAGUGGGAAGCUGGCCCGACGGCAGCCAGAACUUGUUUCUCACCUCCCACCAGCAACCCCCCCACCCAACUCUGGGCCCCAGGCACAUGAAGCACAAGUCUCAGGGGACCAUUCCCACAUUGGGGGAUCCUGAGGGAGCCCAUCACCGCCUCUUGCAUACAACUGUCCACUAGGAGGCACGCCCAGUGUGGGAGGGAUGUAUGGUCUUGCCUUCCACCUCUUCAAAGAAACAGAACCAAGAGGGCAUGUGUGUGCUGUCAGAAAGAGAGAGGGGGCAAAAACAGCAGUGAG